rnacentral:ribozyme from 21 species
CUUUUCUUCUUCUUUUUUUCCCCUUUUUUUUUUCUUACUCGUUUUCCU